CGUGGUUUGAAGGCUAUCGCCUACAACAUGUAUUAUUGGAGCUACCUAGCGUCGCGUUUGUUCGGCCUCACAACUUUCUUGCCUCCUCCACACUCCUGCUCUGCUCUGUCGUCUCGCAUAACCUCAAAGCGAGACACUCACUGCACUGAGUUCCUCUAACUGGAUCCGGGAGGUCAGUGCAAGUUUGGGCCUUGUUGGGAAUCGCCACCCUCCAGCGAGACCCCAGAACGUCACACUCGGUGUACUCAAAGUGAUAAUCUGACUACACGGAGAAGACAAACAGCUUCUCCUACGACUAAAAAAAGGGCGAGGAAAACUGGACUCGUUUUUCACCGUUUUCCUGCAUGGAGGACCAAAUAUCAGAUCACGAAGGCACGACGGAUGGCUGGGGCGCAGCGGUUCGUUGGAAAAGCAUUUCUCUUGAUCAUAUUUCUGCUGGAAUGAGAGUGUAUUCCCCUCAUCUCUACUCUUGAAAACCUGCAUAUGAAAUGCUGACAACACAUCCCAAUAGGGAAUGGGACGUACUACGUCAUUGUUUGGACGCGCCUCCAUGCUGGCAAUAUGAUUCACUUCCGGGUCGGCAGACUCAAUGUGAGUUGUAACGUGUGGUCGUGCUAAGCUAACUCUUUCGGUGUUUUAGAAAGAAAUUAUGGGUGUGUAUUGUUGUGUUACCGGGUGCAACAGCUUCUCCUACGACUAAAAAAAGGGCGAGGAAAACUGGACUCACUUUUCACCGUUUUCCUGCAUGGAGGACCAAAUAUCAGAUCACGAAGGCACGACUGAUGGCUGGAUUGCAGCGGUUCGUCGGAAAAGCAUUUCUUAUGAUCAUAUUUCUGCUGGAAUGAGAGUAUUCCCCUCAUCUCUACUCUUGAAAACCUGCAUAUGAAAUGCUGACAACACAUCUCGAUUGGUCACCAUAUCUCUUCUUGGGUUAUUCUGAGGUCAAGCGCAGCACAUCGGAGCGUUAUGAGAGGUUGGAAAGGCGAAGAGUGCACGCUGAAACUUCAGUUUGCUCUGCUCUUACAAACACGAUCCCAAGUGUUGUUGUGAAAAGUCAAUAAAAUAUGAAUACCAAAACAUGACUUGAACAACUUCUUGACAAACUGUAACUGCUUGUUGUUUACUUCAGGUCUUCAUAAUAAACAGGUGUAAUAAUUACAAAGUCAGGUGACUUAAUUUUGUUAUUCUAUUUGGAAUAUGCAUUGACAAUUUUUGGACAGUGUUGUAGACAAGAACUGGGACUGAUAAGUUGCAAUAGAUUUAUUUCAAGUAAUGCAAUUUCUCCAAUACGAUAUUU